UCCCUGGUGGUCCAGUGGUUAGAAUUCAGUGCUUUCACUGCUGAGGCCUGGGUUCAAUCCCUGGUCAGUGAA
rnacentral:tRNA from 1 species